rnacentral:rRNA from 1 species
GACGAACGCUGGCGGCGUGCUUAACACAUGCAAGUCGAACGGAAAGGCCCUGCUUUUGUGGGGUGCUCGAGUGGCGAACGGGUGAGUAACACGUGAGUAACCUGCCCUUGACUUUGGGAUAACUUCAGGGAACUGGGGCUAAUACCGGAUAGGAGCUCCUGCUGCAUGGUGGGGGUUGGAAAGUUUCGGCGGUUGGGGAUGGACUCGCGGCUUAUCAGCUUGUUGGUGGGGUAGUGGCUUACCAAGGCUUUGACGGGUAGCCGGCCUGCGAGGGUGACCGGCCACAUUGGGACUGAGAUACGGCCCAGACUCCUACGGGAGGCAGCAGUGGGGAAUAUUGCACAAUGGGCGGAAGCCUGAUGCAGCAACGCCGCGUGCGGGAUGACGGCCUUCGGGUUGUAAACCGCUUUCGCCUGUGACGAAGCGUGAGUGACGGUAAUGGGUAAAGAAGCACCGGCUAACUACGUGCCAGCCGCCGCAGUAACAC